rnacentral:rRNA from 1 species
CCUACGGGUGGCUGCAGUGGGGAAUAUUGCACAAUGGGGGGAACCCUGAUGCAGCGACGCCGCGUGAGUGAAGAAGUAUUUCGGUAUGUAAAGCUCUAUCAGCAGGGAAGAAGAUGACGUUACCUGACUAAGAAGCCCCGGCUAACUACGUGCCAGCAGCCGCGGUAAUACGUAGGGGGCAAGCGUUAUCCGGAUUUACUGGGUGGAAAGGGAGGGUAGACGGCAGGGAAAGUCAGGAGUGAAAGCCAAGGGGCCAACCCCGGGACUGCUUUGGACACUGGCAUGCUAGAGUGCUGGAGAGGUAAGCGGAAUUCCUGGUGUAGCGGUGAAAUGCGUAGAUAUUAGGAGGAACACCAGUGGCGAAGGCGACUUACUGGACAGUAACUGACGUUGAGGCUCGAAAGCGUGGGGAGCAAACAGGAUUAGAUACCCUUGUAGUC